CACCAAUAAGUUUUAUUUAGCUUAAACAAGUUUAACAUACCCACUAUCUCCUAACAGCACACCAUCUGCAAAGUUUGUAUGCUCCCGCUCCAGCUUUGCACAGAGACCCGACGUCCUGAAGAUGUGGCUGUCAUGGCAUGACCCUGGCCAACUGGCAUUGACACUUGUAAAUUUCCCUGUAUCACACACAAACUAUAAAUGAACACGAAGGCUUUGUAUUUGAGUGUGACACCUUAAAGUUAUUUAAGAUGAGGCAUAAUUUAUCCCUUUCGAAACCCGUUUUAACUAACGACCGUUUUGACUCUUAAAAUGCUGCAAUAAAUUAUCUCCCAUGUUUUUAAUAUUACCAUUAAAACCUUGCACCAAAAAAUAAACGUUCAAACAUUUGAUAAAGAAAAAUAAUAACAGAUGAUAUAUAUAUAUAUAUAUAUAUGUGCAAUGGAAAGAAUAAAACAGCAUUAAGUUUACCUUGAUGAUCACAGACAGCUUGGACAUUUAUGCUGUGAAAGCCUUUCCGAUUGACAUAUGAAGCUUCAUCAUCAUGAGGUGCCUGAAUGCGGAUGUGUGUUCCAUCUAUGCAGCCAAUUACAUUCGGGAAUCCAGCAACUGCAUAAAAGCCUUGUUUAACUCUUUCCUUCUCCACUGGUGAUGGCCACACAACGAACUCGUGCAAGUGCUUGAUGAUGGCAUCCGUUACAUUUUCAACAACUCUAGAUACCGUACAUUUGUGGAAUCCUAGAGUGUCUCCAAUGACUGAAUAAAAUGCUCCAGUACCAAAAAAUCUCAAUGUUAUGAGGAUUUGUUUGAAUGAUGUCAGCGCAUGGUUUCUGUUUGUUUGCCGUUGCAAAUCGUCCUUAAGAAGAUUUUCCAAGAAAGAGACUCCAUUCUUAGAAAAACGAUAACGUGCAAUAAACUCUUCACUAGUUAAUUCAUCAAGAUGAUGUGACAGUCGAAAUUCCUUUGGUUUCCUAAAUGGCAGAACAGCUAUAGCAGCCAUUUUGAAACCUAGCGUUAACUGUUUAAUUGUGCUUUAAACCUCAAUUAAAGUUAACGGCAGAAACUGGCGUUAAACUGGCCGUUAAAAGCCAGCGUUAUUUUGAGCAACCCAAUGUUAACGCUAACGCUGAUUUUAACAGGCCCGUUAUCAUUUAACGGUCCGUAAAGACUUAACGAUGCUUUGAGCAACCGGGCCCAGAACUCGCCGCAACACCGUAAUCUCCCAAUAAAUAAUAAAUGUUGCUUCUCCGGUGGAUAAUAAGAUAUUGUGAAAUAUUGGCAGUAUGAAGACGUACUGCUGCGGCAAAGAAGAAAGACGAAAUAGAAGGGACUCGACCAAUAUAUUCUAAAACAAGUUAACAAGUUUCAGUAUCAUAGAUUUGCGCCUUAAAGUGUCGUCCCAGAUUUCCCUGUGCUAUCCGCACACUGGGCACAGGCUAUUCAGGGACGAUACUUUCCGCUUUUAUGAUAUUUUCUGUUUAAAGAAAGUCUCUUCAUAGCAAAAAUCCAGUUUAAGCGGAAAGUGUCAUCCCUGAUCAGUCUGAGCGGACUGCACAAGGUAAUCUAGGACGACACUUUAAGGCGCAAUUCUAUGAUACCGUGGCAUAAGGACCCAAAUUACUGAAGUAUUACAUGUAUGCCGACAUUUCAUUCGCAGACGGGUUUAUAGUAAAGAAUACAUAACCGGGUCUCUGCAUGGUACAUAUUAAUAUACAUAGAUUAAACCCAGAUAACAUUAAACUCCUUAUCUUUGAAAGUCUGUUUGUACAUUCUUAAAAUAUGCAGUUGUUUUAUGCAGAUUUUAGCUAUUUAUUGAUAAAUGGUACCGUAAACGUG